rnacentral:lncRNA from 1 species
AUUACUUACCACUACCCGAGGUCCCGACUCCACAAUUAGUUUCCUGGUUUCCCCCAAUUCUUGAUUUCCUUCCCAUCAAAAGCAGCAACUAGAGGCAAACCCUUCUUGAGUUCUUCACUUCUUUCCCCAAUUCCUUCCCGUCAAACCAGUCAUCUGAGUUCACUAAUUGAGCUAAUAGUUUUAGCGGCAUGAAUGGACUGAAGUGAACAGUGAAUCCACUGGCACGAUUCGCCAUUUUUUUUUUUCUAAGUCUCUCGUUCUCUAAGUCUCUAAAUCUCUGUCUGUGAUUUUUUGUGCAAUUUUUCAUGUAUUUAUAAAUUAUACAAAUAACCCAUCUAUAUUAUGGUCCAAUUUUUGGGUCGUUGAUGAAUUUAGCUUCGGUUUUUAUUAAAAUAUUGUUUAUUGUGCUUUGCCACUUUUGUGUAAUUCAGAUUUCAGUGUGUGAUAUUGUUUAUUGUGCUUUGCCAAUUGCCACUUUCGUGUAAUUUAGUGCUUGAUUAUGUGAUUGAAUCAUUGAACCUGCUUGUUUUGAUGAAGCCCA